rnacentral:rRNA from 1 species
AAUGGGUCAGCGACUUAUAUUCUGUAGCAAGGUUAACCGAAUAGGGGAGCCGAAGGGAAACCGAGUCUUAACUGGGCGUUAAGUUGCAGGGUAUAGACCCGAAACCCGGUGAUCUAGCCAUGGGCAGGUUGAAGGUUGGGUAACACUAACUGGAGGACCGAACCGACUAAUGUUGAAAAAUUAGCGGAUGACUUGUGGCUGGGGGUGAAAGGCCAAUCAAACCGGGAGAUAGCUGGUUCUCCCCGAAAGCUAUUUAGGUAGCGCCUCGUGAAUUCAUCUCCGGGGGUAGAGCACUGUUUCGGCAAGGGGGUCAUCCCGACUUACCAACCCGAUGCAAACUGCGAAUACCGGAGAAUGUUAUCACGGGAGACACACGGCGGGUGCUAACGUCCGUCGUGAAGAGGGAAACAACCCAGACCGCCAGCUAAGGUCCCAAAGUCAUGGUUAAGUGGGAAACGAUGUGGGAAGGCCCAGACAGCCAGGAUGUUGGCUUAGAAGCAGCCAUCAUUUAAAGAAAGCGUAAUAGCUCACUGGUCGAGUCGGCCUGCGCGGAAGAUGUAACGGGGCUAAACCAUGCACCGAAGCUGCGGCAGCGACGCUUAUGCGUUGUUGGGUAGGGGAGCGUUCUGUAAGCCUGUGAAGGUGUGCUGUGAGGCAUGCUGGAGGUAUCAGAAGUGCGAAUGCUGACAUAAGUAACGAUAAAGCGGGUGAAAAGCCCGCUCGCCGGAAGACCAAGGGUUCCUGUCCAACGUUAAUCGGGGCAGGGUGAGUCGACCCCUAAGGCGAGGCCGAAAGGCGUAGUCGAUGGGAAACAGGUUAAUAUUCCUGUACUUGGUGUUACUGCGAAGGGGGGACGGAGAAGGCUAUGUUGGCCGGGCGACGGUUGUCCCGGUUUAAGCGUGUAGGCUGGUUUUCCAGGCAAAUCCGGAAAAUCAAGGCUGAGGCGUGAUGACGAGGCACUACGGUGCUGAAGCAACAAAUGCCCUGCUUCCAGGAAAAGCCUCUAAGCAUCAGGUAACAUCAAAUCGUACCCCAAACCGACACAGGUGGUCAGGUAGAGAAUACCAAGGCGCUUGAGAGAACUCGGGUGAAGGAACUAGGCAAAAUGGUGCCGUAACUUCGGGAGAAGGCACGCUGAUAUGUAGGUGAAGUCCCUCGCGGAUGGAGCUGAAAUCAGUCGAAGAUACCAGCUGGCUGCAACUGUUUAUUAAAAACACAGCACUGUGCAAACACGAAAGUGGACGUAUACGGUGUGACGCCUGCCCGGUGCCGGAAGGUUAAUUGAUGGGGUCAGCGCAAGCGAAGCUCUUGAUCGAAGCCCCGGUAAACGGCGGCCGUAACUAUAACGGUCCUAAGGUAGCGAAAUUCCUUGUCGGGUAAGUUCCGACCUGCACGAAUGGCGUAAUGAUGGCCAGGCUGUCUCCACCCGAGACUCAGUGAAAUUGAACUCGCUGUGAAGAUGCAGUGUACCCGCGGCAAGACGGAAAGACCCCGUGAACCUUUACUAUAGCUUGACACUGAACAUUGAGCCUUGAUGUGUAGGAUAGGUGGGAGGCUUAGAAGUGUGGACGCCAGUCUGCAUGGAGCCGACCUUGAAAUACCACCCUUUAAUGUUUGAUGUUCUAACGUUGACCCGUAAUCCGGGUUGCGGACAGUGUCUGGUGGGUAGUUUGACUGGGGCGGUCUCCUCCUAAAGAGUAACGGAGGAGCACGAAGGUUGGCUAAUCCUGGUCGGACAUCAGGAGGUUAGUGCAAUGGCAUAAGCCAGCUUGACUGCGAGCGUGACGGCGCGAGCAGGUGCGAAAGCAGGUCAUAGUGAUCCGGUGGUUCUGAAUGGAAGGGCCAUCGCUCAACGGAUAAAAGGUACUCCGGGGAUAACAGGCUGAUACCGCCCAAGAGUUCAUAUCGACGGCGGUGUUUGGCACCUCGAUGUCGGCUCAUCACAUCCUGGGGCUGAAGUAGGUCCCAAGGGUAUGGCUGUUCGCCAUUUAAAGUGGUACGCGAGCUGGGUUUAGAACGUCGUGAGACAGUUCGGUCCCUAUCUGCCGUGGGCGCUGGAGAACUGAGGGGGGCUGCUCCUAGUACGAGAGGACCGGAGUGGACGCAUCACUGGUGUUCGGGUUGUCAUGCCAAUGGCACUGCCCGGUAGCUAAAUGCGGAAGAGAUAAGUGCUGAAAGCAUCUAAGCACGAAACUUGCC